GACGAACGCUGGCGGCGUGCCUAAUACAUGCAAGUAGAACGCUGAAGGAGGAGCUUGCUUCUCUGGAUGAGUUGCGAACGGGUGAGUAACGCGUAGGUAACCUGCCUGGUAGCGGGGGAUAACUAUUGGAAACGAUAGCUAAUACCGCAUAAUAGUAGAUGUUGCAUGACAUUUACUUAAAAGGUGCAAUUGCAUCACUACCAGAUGGACCUGCGUUGUAUUAGCUAGUUGGUGGGGUAACGGCUCACCAAGGCGACGAUACAUAGCCGACCUGAGAGGGGGAUCGGCCACACUGGGACUGAGGCACGGCCCAGACUCCUACGGGAGGCAGCAGUAGGGAAUCUUCGGCAAUGGACGAAAGUCUGACCGAGCAACGCCGCGUGAGUGAAGAAGGUUUUCGGAUCGUAAAGCUCUGUUGUAAGAGAAGAACGAGUGUGAGAGUGGAAAGUUCACACUGUGACGGUAUCUUACCAGAAAGGGACGGCUAACUACGUG
rnacentral:rRNA from 1 species